AUCUAUGGCCAUACCACCCUAAUGUGCUUGAUCUUGUCUGAUCUCAGAAGCUAAGCAGGGUCGGAUCUGGUUAGUACGUGGAUGGGAGAAUGACUGCACCUCCUCGUGCAAAGAAAGUGAGAGAGGUC
ensembl:rRNA 5S_rRNA 5S ribosomal RNA